AAUCUCAUUUUAGGCUUGUGGGUUGUGCAGGGUUGUGCAACUAUUUUAUAUUGCUUUAACAGAACCAAAAUUUAUAGCUAAGUUUAGAUUUUUUAAUAAUAAGAAGAAGUAAUAUGUCGAAUAUUUUACAAACGAAUAUCAAGUCGGUUAGAACCUAAUGCUCAUGCAAAUAAAGCUGUCAUGGCAACCCUUUGAAUCUGAUAGUUAUUCACUCUGAGCAAUAUAGUAUAAUAUUUUAAAUCAAAUUAACUGCGGAAAUGAAUUUCAAUAAACUGGUUGCUUUGCAUAUAUUUUGACAAACAAUAAAGCAUAGAGAGUCUUCAACAAAAACUCAAGUAAAGAUCAUAUUGCAAAUAUUGAAAAGGCCUCUCCAUUGGUAAAUAAAUGUCAAACAAUAUGUAUAGAGAAUGCAAGCAAUUGUUAAGCAGAUCUUUUUAUAUAUUUAUAGUAUAUACUAUACCUGUAAUCUUCUUGUAUAUUCACAUUUUUAGUAUUAAUUUGUAUAUUUAUUUAGUUAUGUUUUAGUUAACAUAAUCUAUUUAACUUAA